rnacentral:rRNA from 1 species
CCUACGGGGCGCACCAGUGGGGAAUAUUGCACAAUGGGCGCAAGCCUGAUGCAGCCAUGCCGCGUGUGUGAAGAAGGCCUUCGGGUUGUAAAGCACUUUCAGCGGGGAGGAAGGCGGUGAGGUUAAUAACCUCAUCGAUUGACGUUACCCGCAGAAGAAGCACCGGCUAACUCCGUGCCAGCAGCCGCGGUAAUACGGAGGGUGCAAGCGUUAAUCGGAAUUACUGGGCGUAAAGCGCACGCAGGAGGUCUGUCAAGUCGGAUGUGAAAUCCCCGGGCUCAACCUGGGAACUGCAUUCGAAACUGGCAGGCUAGAGUCUUGUAGAGGGGGGUAGAAUUCCAGGUGUAGCGGUGAAAUGCGUAGAGAUCUGGAGGAAUACCGGCGGCGAAGGCGGCCCCCUGGACAAAGACUGACGCUCAGGUGUGAAAGCGUGGGGAGCAAACAGGAUUAGAUACCCUCGUAGUC